AUUGAACGCUGGCGGCAGGCCUAACACAUGCAAGUCGAACGCGUGGCGGACGGGUGAGCAAUGUGUGGGAAACUGCCUGAGGGAGGGGGAACAACACGAGACACGGGCGCUAACAGCCUAUAUCCGCGGAAGUCCCCAUAUGGGAUUAGCUUGGAGGUGGGGUAAAGGCUCACCUAGGCGACGAUCCCUAGCUGGUCUGAGAGGAUGACCAGCCACACUGGAACUGAUACACGGUCCAGACUCCUACGGGAGGCAGCAGUGGGGAAUAUUGCACAAUGGGCGCAAGCCUGAUGCAGCCAUGCCGCGUGUAUGAAGAAGGCCUUCGGGUUGUAAAGUACUUUCAGCGGGGAGGCGUUACCCACAGAAGAAGCACCGGCUAACUCCGUGCCAGCAGCCGCGGUAAUAC
rnacentral:rRNA from 1 species